UAUAGCAGCCAUAUCACCCUGCAACUCACAACUAGCAACCCACUGAAGCUAAGCAGGUGUGAGCCUGGUCAGUACCUGGAUGGGAGACCUCCUGGGAAAAACUAAGGUUGCUGCUGGAA
ensembl:rRNA 5S_rRNA 5S ribosomal RNA